ACCAGUGAAGACUUGUAGAAUGACACAGUGGAGUCUAUGGGUUUGAUAGCUCUUGGAAUCAGUUGAAGAUUCUCACUAUUCUGGCAACAGAAGAUUCUCACAGUGUGUACAUGGGCAGAUUGUCACCUGAUAGACAUGAAGAGAUUCAUGUCACCAGCAAGAUAACUAUCUGCAGUAGGUUCUCACCCUACAUGUCCUCAGGAAAAGUAGAAUCUCACAUAAUGCAACAUUAGCCAGAGAACCAUACCAUCGAACCCAUUAAGAGAAUAUUUUCACCUGACUACUCAGUCUGGAUGUCAGCUGUAAAUACUGAACAGAAGAUUUCACGAGUUGGUACUUCAGUGGUUGGUUCUCAACAGAUACCAGCAACAGAUCUCACGAGUCGGUACUCCUGUGGUUGAUUCUCAACAGACAACAACAACAGAUCUUACGAGUCGGUACUUCAGUGGUUGGUCCUCAACAGAUAACAGCAACAGAUCUCACAGGUCAGGACAUCAGUGGCUUGUUCUCAACUGACAACAGCAACAGAUCUCACGAGUCUAUACUUCAGUGGUUGGUCCUCAACAGACAGCAGCAACAGAUCUCACAGGUCAGGACAUCAGUGGCUUGUUCUCAACAGACAGCAGCAGCAGAUCUCACAGGUCAGGACAUCAGUGGCUGGUUCUCAACUGACAACAGCAACAGAUCUCACGAGUCUAUACUUCAGUGGCUGGUCCUCAACAGACAGCAGCAGCAGAUCUCACAGGUCAGGACAUCAGUGGCUGGUCCUCAACAGACAGCAGCAACAGAUCUCACGAGUCUAUACUUCAGUGGCUUGUCCUCAACAGACAGCAGCAGCAGAUCUCACAGGUCAGGACAUCAGUGGCUGGUCCUCAAC